AAUUCAUAGUGGUGAGAAACCAUAUGAAUUUAAGGAAUGUGGGAAGACCUUUGGUAGUAGCCUCAACACUUAACUAAC